AUAUCAUUCACCACAUCAACUUACAAUUAGUUCCUUGAACUCUGUCACCCUGAAGACUGUGAGGGCAGGUGGAAAAGUAGGGCAGGUGCAAUGAUCUACCUAGAGCUUGAGUUUUCUGUUAAUGUUAUACCAAGGGAGGUGCUUGGAACACAUAGUCCCUCCCAGCAAGGUGACCCAGUUCAAGGCCACCACAAAUGGUUGUGCAGUGUGCAGACUGCACAACAGUACCUAACCUCAGAAAUAAGUGGUGACUGGGAUCCAUUCCACUCUGCUUGCCAUUUGAUCUCCAUGCAUAAGGUGGGAAUUUUUCUCAUUCAUCUCUCUGAAGAAGAAUCUUUUUUAAAAAAACUUCACACUGAGGCUGGGCUGCUCUGACCCAGAUUGUGUGGGAAUCUGAGAUACAUCCACAUAGAACAAGACUAGAAAAUCAAAGCUCUCCUUCCUGAUGCUGACACAGCGAUUCCCUUGUUCCGAAUCUUGGAAAGAGAUGGAAAGCUAGUUCAAGCCGCUGGACAAGAGUGGUGAGCCACCUGAGGGCAGAAACAAUGGCAGCUCCAGAACUUCUAAGAGGAGAAGCAAGGGGCAGAGAUGUUAUUGGAAAAGGAGCAGUUGGAGGCUCUACCCGGGGGACUUGAUCUAAAACAAUCGUUUUAGAUUGUUUUAAACAAUACCCAAGCAGCCAUUCGAAGCUUUGAGAUGAGUUGUUCUGAAGACUACAUUAAAUUCUUAGUUGUGUCUGCCU